GACGAACGCUGGCGGCGUGCUUAACACAUGCAAGUCGAACGCUGAAGCUUGGUGCUUGCACUGGGUGGAUGAGUGGCGAACGGGUGAGUAAUACGUGAGUAACCUGCCCUUGACUCUGGGAUAAGCCUGGGAAACUGGGUCUAAUACUGGAUACGGCAUGUCACCGCAUGGUGGUGUGUGGAAAGGGUUUUACUGGUUUUGGAUGGGCUCACGGCCUAUCAGCUUGUUGGUGGGGUAAUGGCUCACCAAGGCGACGACGGGUAGCCGGCCUGAGAGGGUGACCGGCCACACUGGGACUGAGACACGGCCCAGACUCCUACGGGAGGCAGCAGUGGGGAAUAUUGCACAAUGGGCGGAAGCCUGAUGCAGCGACGCCGCGUGAGGGAUGACGGCCUUCGGGUUGUAAACCUCUUUCAGCACGGAAGAAGCGAAAGUGACGGUACGUGCAGAAGAAGCGCCGGCUAACUACGUG
rnacentral:rRNA from 1 species